GGCAUGGGCCAGCCUGGGGCCAACGACAUGGCCAACGCCGCUGCCUUAGGGAAUUUGGGGAAGGUGAGGGAGCUGCUGGACCAGGGGGCGGACCCCAAUGCAGUCAAUUCCUACGACAGGACGCCGAUCCAGGUCAUGAUGAUGGGAAACACCCAGGUGGCGGAGCUGCUGCUGCAGAGAGGAGCGGAUCCCAACCGGCCGGACCCGCGCACCGGCUCCCUCCCAGUGCACGAUGCGGCGCGAGAAGGUUUCCUGGACACCCUUGUGGCGCUGCACCGAGGCGGGGCUCGCUUGGAUCUGCGGGACACAUGGGGCCGCCUCCCCAUUGACCUAGCUGUCGAGAGCGGGCAUCAGCAAGUGGUCAGCUACCUCCGCGCCCAGCCUGCAAGGGGUGCCGCUCCGCCCCAGGCAUAGGGCACGGGCGUGUGGCCAGCCGUCUGCGGGGCUCUGCCCUGCUCAGCCAUGCACAGCACUGAACUGCAGGCACCAGGUUUGUCUACAGCAGCCGGGGACCACCCCCCAGGAGUAAUCCUGACACAUCAGGCUGGAAAGCAGAGGGUGGCCGCAGGGGAGGCUGUGGCCACCACUCAUUAGGGUUCACCCAAUUUUGUUCAUCUUUAAUCCAGUACUGUACCCUCCCCACAUUUACAGAAGAGUCCACAUUCAUGGGUGUUAUAAUAUUUCCUCCUAGAACAUAACUUAUUGUCCGUUUUUUGUCUUAAAUGUAUGAAGUAUAAUAAAGAGGAAUAAUAUAUUGUAAAUAUGCCACUUGGAAAUGUUCUCUUAAAUGCACUAAAAGCAAACACUAUUUUUGUUUUUGUUUUUUUUUUUUAGAUUUUUACUUUGCACAAAUAUGUAUAUUAGCUUUUACUUGAAAAAAAUGAACGUUCAAACACAACCACUGUAAAGGAAACCAUGAAGCUGCUGCAAGUUCAACAGAUGUUUUCAGAGAACUAUCCACAACGACUCCAAGAUCUCUCUGAGUGGCAACAUCUAAUUUAGACCCCAUCAUUUUGUAUGUAUAGUUGGGAUUACAUUUUCCAGUGUACAUUUCUUUGCACUUAUCCAUACUGAAUUUUAUCUGCCAUUUUGUUGCCCAGUCACCCAGUUUUGUGAGAUCCCUUUGUAACUCUUCACGAUCAGCUUUGGACUUAACUAUGCUUUUUGUAUGCUUUGCAAACUUUGCCAUUUUGCCCCACCCUUUUUCCAGAUUGCUUUACAAAGUGCAGUGCCACAAGAAGGAAACUGUGAAUGAUACUGGUUUUUAAAAAUCCUAUGCUGCCUGACACUGAAAAUACAAAAUAGUUCUAUAAAUUUCAA